GCUCCGUUGGUGAACCAGCGGAGGGAUCAUUACCGAGUGCAAACUCAUAACCCUUUGUGAACCUGUAUCUGUUGCUUCGGCGGCUCGCUCUCGGGCGAGCCCGCCGGUAAUAUCAGUAUCUCUGUUUGAACCCGACGAUACUUCUGAGUGUUCUUAGCGAACAGUUAAAACUUUUAACAACGGAUCUCUUGGCUCUA
rnacentral:misc_RNA from 1 species